GAGACAUUAAAAUGAUUUGCACCCAGGUUGAAAGGGCUAGCAAAUGUCUGAGGCAGUACUGGAUCUAUGGGCUUAAUGACUCCAAAUCCACAUGGGCCACAGCAUCACCUGGCUCUCUGAGCAUGGCUUUUGCUCAUAGCUGAACAAAUAAAAACUCACCUAAUUUGGAAUCCACCCAGGUCAGGCAGAGACAAAGCAUCCUCAUUACUUCCUCUCCAGCGUGGCCCAGCACAGGAGCUAAAGCCUUGGGAAGCUGGUAGAACAGGUAUCAUCCCCAUUUGACAAAUCAGCGAACUAAACCUCAGACCAGUGACGA